UUGACAGUUUGUAUAUAUUUUCUUUUGAAAAACUAAACAACAUGCUUGUCAAGGUGAUUGAAUUACUGAAUGAUGAAAAGAUCCAAAUGACCUCGAAGCAAAUGACAGAAAUCCUAAAUUUGGUCAGCAAAGAAGAAUUUUUCUUGAAAUUCAUAUGGAGAGAAAAGUCGAAAAGGCUCUCGAUGAAGCAAAAGUAGCGACAGAUGAAUUAUCGCACUUAGCAGCAUCCACAAAAGCCAAACCAAAAGACUGUCAAAUAAGCCAAGCCAUAACGUUACCUGCAGAAACCUCAUGGAGUCGUCACUAACGAUGGAAAUUCAAUGGAUCGUCAAGUUUAUCCCUCAAUUCUACGCUUCUUCGAAUAAUAUCGACAGAUCGAGAAAAAUCUAUCGAACUUUAACUUGAUCGUCUGGUUUCGUUGGGAAGGGAUUUACUUUUCCGUCUGCCUGGACGUGGGGUCAAAAGGAGCUAGGAGUUGGCCAGCUUGGACUAUCAGAUUGCGUCUCGGGUGAAUCCCCCCAAUCUGUACGUCCUUUACUUGACAAUGACAUACGAAUAUGCAAAGUGGUUUGCGGCUCACAGCUUUCAUUGGCGCUCACGUUGGAUGGACGUGUACUUGCGUGUGGAGUUACUAGUACAAGUCGAGCCACACUGAAGUAUCCUUAUCUUUCUCUACUACCAUCAUCUGAGCACCAAUAUUUCUAAUAGAAGUGUUUUCAUACAACGUGGGGAAAUUAAUUAUGGAUACUUGUUUCUUAAACUAGUUACUGAUCAGGUGGUAUUUCAAAAGUUUUUCUUCACACAAAACGAAAUCGACAUCAUCGACGACACGUCUCUAAGAAGUAGAAAAACAAAAGGAAAAUGUUGCAAAACGAAUCUUUUGAAAUUGCAUUCCACAGAAUUGCAUAAAUACAGCACAAGAGCACAACAAAUAUCUCAAUAAUAAACCCACGACCAAAAAAUUGUAUUUAAUUUUCCUGAAACAAAUACGCACGGCGGUUUAGGGGGGAAUAUUGCGAGCUAAAUCUCGUCUAAGGGGUCUACUGUACUAGAUUCAUCAGAGUCUGAAUUAAUUGAAACAUGAAGUAAAUUGCCACGG